CGCAUCUGUGCAUGCAGCAUUAUCAAUAAGCGGAGGAAAAGAAACUAACAAGGAUUCCCCUAGUAACGGCGAGUGAAGCGGGAAGAGCUCAAAUUUGAAAUCUUAAAGGGUUUCCCUUUACGAAUUGUAGUUUAAAGAAGUGUUUUCUGUUGAGGUUUUGGUAAAAGUUCUUUGGAAUAGGACAUCAUAGAGGGUGAGAAUCCCGUAUUUGACCUUUACUUUCAACUUUGUGAUACACUUUCAAAGAGUCGGAUUGUUUGGGAAUGCAGUCCAAAAUGGGUGGUAAAUUUCAUCUAAAGCUAAAUAUUGGCGAGAGACCGAUAGCGAACAAGUACCGUGAGGGAAAGAUGAAAAGAACUUUGAAAAGAGAGUUAAACAGUACGUGAAAUUGUCAAAAGGGAAGCGUUUGACACCAGUGUUGUUUUUCUGAAAAUCAAUUAAAGAACUGUUUAUGCUAAGCUGUUUAGACUUUAUCAGCUAUCUGUUUAGUUUUGAGCUUUUCUUUAAUGCACUUUUCAGUUAACAAGUCAACAUCAAUUUCUUUUGCUGUAAAAAAGCUUGAGGAAGGUGGCUUGAGAUUCGUCUUAAGUGUUUAUAGCCUCUUGCCUAUGCAGUCGGAGAGAUUGAGGUCUGCAGCGUAGAUCCUUCGGGGCUAAAUGCAUUUGUGCUAAGUUAUAGCAUUUUAUAGACAACUUGUUGACUAUGAUUUGUCUUGUAGCUUACUCGCUUAUGUUAUUUUACCUACGCUUAGGAUGUUGAGUCGUAGAGCACGCAG
rnacentral:rRNA from 1 species